rnacentral:rRNA from 1 species
GCAACAAGCCAUCGGCAGUAAAGAUGAGACCAUAUUGUGGCUUCGCUUUGCCGGUGAUUUGAAGUAUCUUACAGAUGCUCAAUCAUGGAUAGCGGCUUAUGAAGAAAUAGGACGCAUGCUUUACGGUUUGCAGCAAUCGCGAAAAACCUGAUCCCUAAUUUUGUGCGCUUAGAAAAAACUCAACAACUCUUUUAUAUCUUGCCUCUUGCAUCUUGUCACUUGUCUCUUGAUGGUAGGGGAGCAUUCCGUAGGCCGUCGAAGCAGUAUCGCGAGGUAUUGUGGAGGUAUCGGAAAAGCAGAUGCUGGCAUUAGUAGCGAUAAUUCUGGUGAGAAUCCAGGACGCCGUAAGCCUAAGGAUUCCUGGGUAAAGUUCGUCUGCUCAGGGUAAGUCGGCCCCUAAGGAGAGGCCGCAAGGCGUAUCUGAUGGGAAACAGGUAAAGAUUCCUGUACCAUUUUUAUGGUGUUUGAGUGAUGUGGGGACGCAGGACUGAAAGGUGUGCCACGUGUUGGAUCGUGGUUGAAGGCGCCGGCCGGUGGAAGUAGGAAAAUCCGCUUCUGCAACGGUUAACGCCGAUAGUACACCAAUCCUUCGGGAGCGGUGAUAAUCACCCUAAAGACUGCCAGGAAAAGCCACUAAACGAAUCAUAGAAGUGCCCGUACCGCAAACCGACACAGGUAGGCGAGGAGAGUAUCCUCAGGCGCGCGAGUGAUGCCUCGUUAAGGAACUCGGCAAAAUGACCCCGUACGUUCGCAAGAAGGGGUGCCCCUUAUGGGGGCCGCAGUGAAGAGGCCCAAGCGACUGUUUAGCAAAAACACAUGUCUAUGCGAAGUCGAAAGACGCCGUAUAUGGACUGACACCUGCCCGGUGCUGGAAGGUUAAGAGGGGAUGUUAUCUUCGGAGAAGCAUUGAAUCGAAGCCCCAGUAAACGGCGGCCGUAACUAUAACGGUCCUAAGGUAGCGAAAUUCCUUGUCGGGUAAGUUCCGACCUGCACGAAUGGUGUAACGACUUGGGCACUGUCUCAACGAGGCGCUCGGCGAAGUUGAGAUGCCGGUGAAGACGCCGGCUUCCCGCAACGGGACGGAAAGACCCCGUGAACCUUUACUGCACCCUGACAUUGGUUUUGGGCUUAGCAUGUGUAGGAUAGGUGGGAGACUAUGAAGUGUGUGCGCUAGCAUGCACUGAGUCAUUGUUGAAAUACCACCCUUGUUAUGUUUAAAAUCUAACGGGCUGAUGUGGAGUCAGCCGGACAGUGUCAGGCGGGUAGUUUGACUGGGGCGGUCGCCUCCUAAAAGGUAACGGAGGCACCCAAAGGUUCCCUCAGCACGGUUGGUAAUCGUGCGCAGAGCGUAAACGUAGAAGGGAGCUUGACUGCGAGACCGACGGGUCGAGCAGGUGCGAAAGCAGGGGUUAGUGAUCCGGCGGCACUGAGUGGAAGGGCCGUCGCUCAAUGGAUAAAAGGUACUCCGGGGAUAACAGGCUGAUCCCGCCCAAGAGUUCACAUCGACGGCGGGGUUUGGCACCUCGAUGUCGGCUCAUCGCAUCCUGGGGCUGGAGAAGGUCCCAAGGGUUUGGCUGUUCGCCAAUUAAAGCGGUACGCGAGCUGGGUUCAGAACGUCGUGAGACAGUUCGGUCCCUAUCUGUUGCGGGCGUAGGAAGUUUGAGGGGCUCUGCUCUUAGUACGAGAGGACCGGAGUGGAGAAGCCUCUGGUGUACCGGUUGUGCCGCCAGGCGCAUCGCCGGGUAGCCACGCUUCGUGGGAUAAGCGCUGAAAGCAUCUAAGUGCGAAACCCAACCCAAGAUGAGACUUCCCUAAAGGCCCCUGGGAGAUGACCAGGUGAUAGGCUGCAGGUGUAAGUGUAGUAAUACAUUCAGCCGAGCAGUACUAAUUGGCCGUUCGUCUUGACC